AAGAGUUUGAUCAUGGCUCAGAUUGAACGCUGGCGGCAGGCCUAACACAUGCAAGUCGAACGGUAACAGGAAGCAGCUUGCUGCUUUGCUGACGAGUGGCGGACGGGUGAGUAAUGUCUGGGAAACUGCCUGAUGGAGGGGGAUAACUACUGGAAACGGUGGCUAAUACCGCAUAACGUCGCAAGACCAAAGAGGGGGACCUUCGGGCCUCUUGCCAUCAGAUGUGCCCAGAUGGGAUUAGCUUGUUGGUGAGGUAACGGCUCACCAAGGCGACGAUCCCUAGCUGGUCUGAGAGGAUGACCAGCCACACUGGAACUGAGACACGGUCCAGACUCCUACGGGAGGCAGCAGUGGGGAAUAUUGCACAAUGGGCGCAAGCCUGAUGCAGCCAUGCCGCGUGUAUGAAGAAGGCCUUCGGGUUGUAAAGUACUUUCAGCGGGGAGGAAGGUGUUGUGGUUAAUAACC
rnacentral:rRNA from 1 species